UACGUAGGUGGCAAGCGUUGUCCGGAUUUAUUGGGCGUAAAGAGCGUGUAGGCGGCCAUGUAGGUCCGGUGUGAAAACUCGAGGCUUAACCUCGAGAUGUCAUCGGGAAACCAUCUGGCUAGAGUCCGGGAAGAGGAGAGUGGAAUUCCUGGUGUAGCGGUGAAAUGCGCAGAUAUCAGGAAGAACACCAAUGGCGAAAGCAGCUCUCUGGGACGGUACUGACGCUGAGACGCGAAAGCGUGGGGAGCGAACAGG
rnacentral:rRNA from 1 species